AGUGAACGCUGGCGGUAGGCCUAACACAUGCAAGUCGAACGGCAGCACAGUAAGAGCUUGCUCUUACGGGUGGCGAGUGGCGGACGGGUGAGGAAUACAUCGGAAUCUACUUUUUCGUGGGGGAUAACGUAGGGAAACUUACGCUAAUACCGCAUACGACCUACGGGUGAAAGCAGGGGAUCUUCGGACCUUGCGCGAUUGAAUGAGCCGAUGUCGGAUUAGCUAGUUGGCGGGGUAAAGGCCCACCAAGGCGACGAUCCGUAGCUGGUAUGAGAGGAUGAUCAGCCACACUGGAACUGAGACACGGUCCAGACUCCUACGGGAGGAAGCAGUGGGGAAUAUUGGACAAUGGGCGCAAGCCUGAUCCAGCCAUACCGCGUGGGUGAAGAAGGCCUUCGGGUUGUAAAGCCCUUUUGUUGGGAAAGAAAAGCAGCAGGUUAAUACCCCGCUGUUCUGACGGUACCCAAAGAAUAAGCACCGGCUAACUUCGUG
rnacentral:rRNA from 1 species